rnacentral:rRNA from 1 species
CCUACGGGAGGCAGCAGUGAGGAAUAUUGGUCAAUGGCCGCAAGACUGAACCAGCCAAGUAGCGUGAAGGAUGACGGUCCUAUGGGUUGUAAACCGCUUUUAUCAGGGGACAAAAGGCGCCACGUGUGGCGCUUUGCGAGUACCGGAAGAAAAAGCAUCGGCUAACUCCGUGCCAGCAGCCGCGGUAAUACGGAGGAUGCGAGCGUUAUCCGGAUUUAUUGGGUUUAAAGGGUGCGCAGGCGGAAUGUCAAGUCAGCGGUAAAAUUUCGGGGCUCAACCCCGUCGUGCCGCGGAAACUGGCGUUCUUGAGUGAGCGAGACGUAUGCGGAAUGCGUGGUGUAGCGGUGAAAUGCAUAGAUAUCACGCAGAACUCCGAUUGCGAAGGCAGCAUACCGGCGCGCAACUGACGCUGAUGCACGAAAGCGCGGGUAUCGAACAGGAUUAGAUACCCUUGUAGUC